AUUGAACGCUGGCGGCAGGCCUAACACAUGCAAGUCGAACGGUAACAGGAAGCAGCUUGCUGCUUCGCUGACGAGUGGCGGACGGGUGAGUAAUGUCUGGGAAGCUGCCUGAUGGAGGGGGAUAACUACUGGAAACGGUAGCUAAUACCGCAUAAUGUCGCAAGACCAAAGAGGGGGACCUUCGGGCCUCUGGCCAUCGGAUGUGCCCGGAUGGGAUUAGCUUGUUGGUGGGGUAACGGCUCACCAAGGCGACGAUCCCUAGCUGGUCUGAGAGGAUGACCAGCCACACUGGGACUGAGACACGGUCCAGACUCCUACGGGAGGCAGCAGUGGGGAAUAUUGCACAAUGGGCGCAAGCCUGAUGCAGCCAUGCCGCGUGUAUGAAGAAGGCCUUCGGGUUGUAAAGUACUUUCAGCGGGGAGGAAGGGAGUAAAGUUAAUACCUUUGCUCAUUGACGUUACCCGCAGAAGAAGCACCGGCUAACUCCGUG
rnacentral:rRNA from 1 species